CUUAAAUGAGCUAUCUAGUUUGGGCACUUCUGAAAAUUGAACAAUUGAACUACUCUGAAACUUCUGCAAAACUGUUAAAAUCUUCACUGCAUUCUACUGAGCAGAUGUACAAGUUCAGUAAAGAAGGCUCCAUCUCCAAAUACAACUUUUCUAAAUGUAUAUAUUUCCCACUGAAGAGAUGUGAAAUACAAGGCAUGCAAAAGGUCUUCUACUCAGAUAAUCUACUGCACACACUACUGCUUCUGUCAGUCCUCAUUAAAACCAACACUGGAGAUCCAAGAGUGAUAAAUCCAAGCAUAACAGAAAAAUGUAUGUUGUAGUUCAUAUCUUUGAUCACACCACUCAAAAAUGGUCACUGCCUCAGAGAGGAGAGAUCAGCUUCAUUCAUCAGUCAUGUUUCUAUUCAUGCACCUGUUCUUUAGCAUCUUACAAAAUCAAGAUGGAUGGCUCCUGUCCACUCUGUAGUUCUCAGCAUCUUUAACUCCUUCCUGAGCAGCUGCUACACAUACACUCUGAAUUUCCUGGAAUUUGGACUAUCA
ensembl:lncRNA